GCCGCGGUAAUACAGAGGGUGCAAGCGUUAAUCGGAAUUACUGGGCGUAAAGCGCGCGUAGGUGGUUCGUUAAGUUGGAUGUGAAAUCCCCGGGCUCAACCUGGGAACUGCAUUCAAAACUGACGAGCUAGAGUAUGGUAGAGGGGGGUGGAAUUUCCUGUGUAGCGGUGAAAUGCGUAGAUAUAGGAAGGAACACCAGUGGCGAAGGCGACCACCUGGACUGAUACUGACACUGAGGUGCGAAAGCGUGGGGAGCAAACAGGAUUAGA
rnacentral:rRNA from 1 species